CCGGACAUUAAGUUGCCUUCUGAAAUUGAAGUUCCACCCAUGUGGUGUCCAUAAUUCUGCUAUAAUCCUCUAUUUAAAAAAUACCAAGUUGUAGAUAUCUGGAAAAAUCACUUCCAUAUUCCCAUCCUCAUGUCAAUUAUCCUUCUAGAACCUAGUGUUAUUUCUAUCCAUCACUUUAACCUUUAAGUUGCUUUUAACUUCAUUCCACUAGUGUCUAAUAGAUUUAAUAGAUCUCUAGAGGCUAACCCCGUAUGGUGUGGUCACUUCUUUAGUCAUUCAUCUAUCUCUCCUAGUAUACCCAUACACCAAUCUCAACAUCCUCAUUUCUGCGACAUUUAUCUUUCAAACAUGCGAGCUCUUGGCCAGCCAAACACUCUGCCCCAUGCAAGAUACCUAAGGGCAGAUACAUCAACGUGGCUUCAGAAUCAUCAAUUUUAUCUGGUAAGGUUACUUCUCCGAUGAUUGAAACAGUCAAAAUGAAGAAUUCUUUAGAACCUGCUUCGCCAGCUGUUGCUAAUUCAGAGAAAAUUAGAAUAGCAGUAACCUUGGGAAAUUCUGUCGCGCAACUGUUCUGAGACUACUACAACUCAAGAUACAGUAGUGUAUGGUGAUGGAUUUUCUUCAGAGAAUAGAGAGGUACUUCUUCCUUCUGAAAUAAAUACUAAUGUGAUUAGUUAAUUACUACUGGUUACUGGUUAAAACCCCAAGAAAGCUUUUCGUAGCUGUUAUGUUGGAUGUUGAUCUAACAAUUUUGUAGUGCAGUUGUUAGUCAACUGCUAAUAGGUGAAGAAUAUGCUCCAAAUUCAAAUGAGGUUUGCUUUUGUCCUUUGUGCUCUAUGUUGUGCCUAAAAUGCAGAAUGUCAAGAAAGAUGCUGCAAUAACUGAAAUUGGAGGUGCUACUCCAUCAGAUGAGAAAAUAGUCGAGCUGGGACCAUUAGUUUAUGAGAGCAAAGCGGUAUAGUUGAUUAUAGCUUUUUAUCCCGUUUAGUGUAUGUUCUCGAAAUUUCUCUUAUUUCUAUUUUAAGUAUC